UUUGGGGUCUAUCCGAUGGGGCUUUCUCUGUAGACUCACAUCGUUGGAAACGCCUCACAGAGUAACUAUGUCAUUUGCUUUACUCGCAGGACUGCUGUUGGUUGGAUCUAUGAGGAAGAACUACAAGACAGAU